UGCAGACUCUCUUUACCUGCAGCUGGACCAGUGAAGAAGAGGCUCCCUGGGUUGGUUGAGGUGAGCAUAGCCUUCAAAUGACAGGUGUGAGCUGUUUCAGGGCCCGGGGCCUAAGGUCACACCAAUAGCUGGUGACAGAGCAGUGGUCCUGUGACUGGGACCCUGUCCCUCUGCCGCAGGGCCUUUCACCUUUACAAAGUGGCCUUCCUGUUUGAAGCCACAAUCAUUCUAUAGGACCAGCAUGGAAUGGAAUCCUCCACAAGGUUGGAUCAACUUGCUUUUGGACACAGAAUGAAAUGGUUCCAGUUCCGGGUCACAGCAUCCCACACUCCAGGUUGGGCUUUUCCCCAUGAGGCAGUAUAAUUUUCCUUUGCAUCUGGGCUUCUGUCCUCCCACCAAAUGUGUGUCCUGGGCCUCCCCUGAGCCUCCAUGCCUCUCUUCUCUGAAGGUGCAGUGAGCCAGGGCAGGUGGGGUGGGAGAUGAUUCCAGAAAGGCCCCAGCUGCUGUCAGCAGCUUCCCUGGCAGAGAUGAUUCACGGGGCCGCUGCUCCUGAGCACGGAGGCCAGUUGGGUGUCCAUCAUCAGCUCCCUCCUUGCCCGGAAACUGCUUCUUCCAAAGGGUCUGCAGCAGCUGCAGCUGCAGGGAGGCCUCCUCCCAGCCCUGGUCAUGGGAAGGUGGAAGGAGGGAGAGGCCUGGAAAGCUGCCACCAGAGCGAGGCUGGUGACAUGGAGAGUCUAUCAAUCUUGCGUGCAGAGCUGAAUUCAGUGCUGGGGCUCAAUGGAUAAUAAACAGUGGCCACACUGCAAGUCUGACAAGGAGAAACUGCACAGAUGGACGCGCUAGGCAGCUUGAUGUCACCCUGAGCAAACGUCACCGUGUGUGGUCAUCACCACAUGGGGCCUGCAGCGCCAUCGCCAAGCAGGCCAGCUCAGCCUAGGGUGCGAGGAGUCCACGUCUGUCCUUGUGGAGCCCCUAGUGUGUUUUCCUUGAUGUGCUCAAAGCAAGAAGGGAACAGAGGUCCAAGAGCUGCCCAGCAGGUGUGCUGCUGCUCACACUGUCCCUGGCACCCAAGGCUGGAAAAGACUCAGUGCCAAGUGACCCAUCUCCCUGUUUUCACUUGUUCUGGACGGCAUCACCCACCGCAGCCUGACUCUUGAUGGAAGGAGGCAGACACUGGAAAUGGCCAGACCUGGCAGGUUUUUUAGCAUUAGUGGUUUAAGUGCACUUUAAUGAAAUCUGAGUUUUAGCUCUUCUAGGCCGGCUGUUUGUAGUGGCCUGGGGAACACAGAGACCCCUAAGGCUGGCCCCUCUCACAGGGACUCAAGGACAGCUUGGCUUGGACAAAUACCCACUCAUAAACAUCUGAGAGUGAACACAGUCUUUUCCACUCCUCGGCCAACUAAUGGGUGCUGCUCACAAGGGCAGCAGGGGCAGGGGAGACGUCAAUGGGGUCUUCCUGAAGCACUGACUUCUAGAACAAGGUGGGACCCCUUUUGUUUUCCUGUGCCUGUGUGCAUCUUUGGAUUUUUCUUAGGAUGAAAUUUAUCUGGAGCCCAUGUCCUGUGAAAGAACGCAGAAACAAGCAGUGAGGGAGGUGGUGACCACAAGGUAAGACGCACACAGGGCUUUGAGCCAAAGGACUCACCUGAAUCCCAGCCAUGCCCCUCACCAGGGUGAGACCUUGGAGGCCCGACUGAUUCUAUGAGCUUCUGUCAGUAAUCCCAUCCACUCAGCAGGGCUUUUAUAAGAAUCAGAGAUUAACAUCCAGGCCCCCAAUAAAUCGUAGUUGCUCUUGAAAGGAACACUGGGAAUAUGGGUUCCUCUAAAGGUAAAUGCUGAACCACCUGUGGUUGCUAAUGGUUAGGAACUGUCCUUGCUCUGCUCUUUCCAAGGGGCUGUGGCUUUAAACAUGCAAAUCAUUUCUGCAGGAGGGAAAAGGCAGUUCCCUAGGAAGCCAAGGGCAUCCUGCUCUGAUGAGCAGACUGUCUGGACUCUGAGGCCUACGCCCACCCCCGCAGCAUCUCCAAAUGCUGAGCAGGAUCUAGAGGCUGCCCUGACCAUAAGACUGGAAUACAUCAUCCUCAGCUUCCUGCUGGCCAUCAUUUAAGACUUCAGAAAAAGCCUCAGCUGUGGCCAGCAGCCUGCCGUGGGGGUGGCCUUGGCAGAGCUCCUGGGCUGGCCUGGAAAUGACAAGCUUUACAGGUGUGGGGGAAGGCUACGUGGCAGCCACAUUUGGCACAGGGAGGAAUGGUCACCAUAGGCAUCUCACAUCCUUGGCACAUGCAAUUGGACCCCGCCCCAUUUAUUCUCUAGUCAAUGCCCAGCUAGAAACUUAGAAGACCCACGUGUGUUUGCUCCAUAUUGUCCAGGACGGAAAGUCCUAAUCCUAUGUCCCAAAAGGAAGCUGUCUGUGUGGCCAUCAGCCUAAGCUUCAUGUGUCAUGAGGAUCACAUUCCUCAGAGGGCCAAUUCUGAUGACCCAACACCACAGGGUGAACAUGGAGAUAAAGGGGGAUAUCAGGGAGUCAGGUGUUAUUAACACAAGGGCAGGAUUCAGCUUAAAAUACUGCCAUCGGUUUCAGUUGUAGUUUGCAAUUCAUAUUUCUCCCACAAUGAAAGUAUAUUAGAAUAGUAGAUUAAAUAAAUAAAGAAUAAUGGAAGAAUCUGAUGGCUGUCAUUUGUCACCCAUGAAGAUCCAUGUUUCCACUCUGUAGCAACAAAAUCAGUGAUCUAAAUAUGAACAAGUAGAGCAUAUUAUAAACAGUUAGUUAUAUAUUGUUAUCACCAUAAAGUCAUUACAGCAGAAAUAAAAACUGUUUAUUAUUUUAACUAUUAAUAUUCAUCAAAUGUUAAUGAAAAUACCUAACAAAUAAUUAUGAAAAACACGUUGCUUAAGUAAUAAAGAUGAAACAGAUGAUAAUCGUUGUGAAUAUUUAAUCUGCAAAAUAAAGAACAUACCAUUAAUAAGACUUAAUUAUGUCAUUAAAUAUUUAAUUUUA
rnacentral:lncRNA from 1 species